rnacentral:lncRNA from 1 species
GAGGCAGCAUUCGGCUGCCGAAGCUUGCCCCGAAAGAAGACUUUCGGAUCUGUCUGGGAGGUUCGGCCGCCGAAGGUGCCGCCGAACCUGCCUGACUUUCGGCUCUGGAGGGACUUUCGGCCGCCGAACCUGCCGCCGAAAGUGCCCUGUUCAGCCACUUCUUGCAUGUUUUUAUGUGAUGUUUUCAGGAUGUUUUAGGGGGUUUUUGGGGAGUAUAUUAGAGUUGUAUUUACGUAUGUUUGGUCCCUCAUUUGAGUCCACCUGUGUAGGUUCGGACCCGAGGAACCGAGGACCCCAGCAGUGAGUUCAGCUGCUUCGGUGUUGUCAGAGUUAGCCAGAGGUGAGUGGAACUAAAACUUAAUCUUUUAAAUUAAAUGCUUUAUCAUGUUUCAUGCAUCAUGAUUAUGCAAUAGGAUGAUUGCAUUAGUAUUCACGAAUAUGCCGCAUUGCAUAAAUUGUUGUUGUUGUGGGUGAAUGUCGGAUGACCCAGUUAGUCCAUGACAGGAAGACCAGGCCCCAGUCUACAGGCCUGGCACAGAGUAAGAAAGACCAGGCCCCAGUCUACAGGCCUGGCAUAGAGUAAGAAAGACCAGGCCCCAGUCUACAGGCCUGGCACAGAGUAAGGAAAGACCAGGAUCCCAUCCUAUGGUCUAGCACGGUUAUGGGACUUGAAGACCAGGAGCCCAGAGGAGGCCCUGGGAAAAUGGUAAGUAAUGUAUGUUCUGACAGGAAAGACCAGGACCCCAUUCUACAGGCCUGGCGCAGAGUUAACUUGGACUAAUUGGUGACGGGUUCACCCAACCCUUAUGUGAAUUGUUUGUGUUAUGAUGCAUUCCAUUUGAGCAUAGUGUUAAUGUGUUUUACUAGCUCUACUCACUGGGCUUCUAGCUCACCCCUCUCCCUUUACCCCCAGGCUUGCAGGUACAGUAUAGUGCGGGAGUCCGGAUAGAGUAAAGAAGUCAUGCUUAUGUAAUAGCUAGCAAUGGACAUGAUCAAAUUGUAAUGUAAAAGUACAGUAUAGUCAUGUAAUGAGGUUUAUGGAUGUUAGUGUGUGCUUGACCAUA